GACGAACGCUGGCGGCGUGCUUAACACAUGCAAGUCGAGCGGUAAGGCCCUUUCGGGGGUACACGAGCGGCGAACGGGUGAGUAACACGUGGGUGACCUGCCCUCAGCUCUGGGAUAAGCCUGGGAAACUGGGUCUAAUACCGGAUAUGACUCCAUGACGCAUGUUGUGGGGUGGAAAGCCUUGUGCGGCUGAGGAUGGGCCCGCGGCCUAUCAGCUUGUUGGUGGGGUGAUGGCCUACCAAGGCGACGACGGGUAGCCGGCCUGAGAGGGCGACCGGCCACACUGGGACUGAGACACGGCCCAGACUCCUACGGGAGGCAGCAGUGGGGAAUAUUGGACAAGUGGGGCAACCCUGAUCCAGCCAUGCCGCGU
rnacentral:rRNA from 1 species